rnacentral:rRNA from 1 species
UUCUUCGGACAAUAUACAAGGUGCUGCAUGGUUGUCGUCAGCUCGUGCCGUGAGGUGUCGGGUUAAGUCCCAUAACGAGCGCAACCCUUGUCCUUAGUUACCAGCACGUUAUGGUGGGCACUCUAAGGAGACUGCCGGUGACAAACCGGAGGAAGUGGGGAUGACGUCAAGUCAUCAUGGCCCUUACGGCCUGGGCUACACACGUGCUACAAUGGUCGGUACAAAGGGUUGCCAAGCCGCGAGGUGGAGCUAAUCCCAUAAAACCGAUCGUAGUCCGGAUCGCAGUCUGCAACUCGACUGCGUGAAGUCGGAAUCGCUAGUAAUCGUGAAUCAGAAUGUCACGGUGAAUACGUUCCCGGGCCUU